UACGUAGGGGGCUAGCGUUGUCCGGAAUUAUUGGGCGUAAAGAGCGUGUAGGCGGCCAGGUAGGUCUGCUGUGAAAACUCGAGGCUCAACCUCGAGACGUCGGCGGAAACCAUCUGGCUAGAGUCCGGAAGAGGAGAGUGGAAUUCCUGGUGUAGCGGUGAAAUGCGCAGAUAUCAGGAAGAACACCAAUGGCGAAGGCAGCUCUCUGGGACGGUACUGACGCUGAGACGCGAAAGCGUGGGGAGCGAACAGG
rnacentral:rRNA from 1 species